rnacentral:rRNA from 1 species
UACGUAGGGAGCAAGCGUUGUCCGGAAUCAUUGGGCGUAAAGAGCGUGUAGGCGGCUCGAUAAGUCCGCUGUGAAAGUCCAGGGCUCAACCCUGGGAUGCCGGUGGAUACUGUCGGGCUCGAGUCCGGAAGAGGCGAGUGGAAUUCCUGGUGUAGCGGUGAAAUGCGCAGAUAUCAGGAGGAACACCAAUGGCGAAGGCAGCUCGCUGGGACGUGACUGACGCUGAGACGCGAAAGCGUGGGGAGCAAACAGG